rnacentral:rRNA from 1 species
CAGAAGUGCGAAUGCUGACAUAAGUAACGAUAAAGCGGGUGAAAAGCCCGCUCGCCGGAAGACCAAGGGUUCCUGUCCAACGUUAAUCGGGGCAGGGUGAGUCGACCCCUAAGGCGAGGCCGAAAGGCGUAGUCGAUGGGAAACAGGUUAAUAUUCCUGUACUUGGUGUUACUGCGAAGGGGGGACGGAGAAGGCUAUGUUGGCCGGGCGACGGUUGUCCCGGUUUAAGCGUGUAGGCUGGUUUUCCAGGCAAAUCCGGAAAAUCAAGGCUGAGGCGUGAUGACGAGGCACUACGGUGCUGAAGCAACAAAUGCCCUGCUUCCAGGAAAAGCCUCUAAGCAUCAGGUAACAUCAAAUCGUACCCCAAACCGACACAGGUGGUCAGGUAGAGAAUACCAAGGCGCUUGAGAGAACUCGGGUGAAGGAACUAGGCAAAAUGGUGCCGUAACUUCGGGAGAAGGCACGCUGAUAUGUAGGUGAAGCGACUUGCUCGUGGAGCUGAAAUCAGUCGAAGAUACCAGCUGGCUGCAACUGUUUAUUAAAAACACAGCACUGUGCAAACACGAAAGUGGACGUAUACGGUGUGACGCCUGCCCGGUGCCGGAAGGUUAAUUGAUGGGGUUAGCGCAAGCGAAGCUCUUGAUCGAAGCCCCGGUAAACGGCGGCCGUAACUAUAACGGUCCUAAGGUAGCGAAAUUCCUUGUCGGGUAAGUUCCGACCUGCACGAAUGGCGUAAUGAUGGCCAGGCUGUCUCCACCCGAGACUCAGUGAAAUUGAACUCGCUGUGAAGAUGCAGUGUACCCGCGGCAAGACGGAAAGACCCCGUGAACCUUUACUAUAGCUUGACACUGAACAUUGAGCCUUGAUGUGUAGGAUAGGUGGGAGGCUUUGAAGUGUGGACGCCAGUCUGCAUGGAGCCGACCUUGAAAUACCACCCUUUAAUGUUUGAUGUUCUAACGUUGACCCGUGAUCCGGGUUGCGGACAGUGUCUGGUGGGUAGUUUGACUGGGGCGGUCUCCUCCUAAAGAGUAACGGAGGAGCACGAAGGUUGGCUAAUCCUGGUCGGACAUCAGGAGGUUAGUGCAAUGGCAUAAGCCAGCUUGACUGCGAGCGUGACGGCGCGAGCAGGUGCGAAAGCAGGUCAUAGUGAUCCGGUGGUUCUGAAUGGAAGGGCCAUCGCUCAACGGAUAAAAGGUACUCCGGGGAUAACAGGCUGAUACCGCCCAAGAGUUCAUAUCGACGGCGGUGUUUGGCACCUCGAUGUCGGCUCAUCACAUCCUGGGGCUGAAGUAGGUCCCAAGGGUAUGGCUGUUCGCCAUUUAAAGUGGUACGCGAGCUGGGUUUAGAACGUCGUGAGACAGUUCGGUCCCUA